AGUCCACAUCGACGGGGAGGUUUGGCACCUCGAUGUCGGCUCAUCACAUCCUGGGGCUGUAGUAGGUCCCAAGGGUUGGGCUGUUCGCCCAUUACAGUGGUACGCGAGCUGGGUUCAGAACGUCGUGGGACAGUUCGGUCCCUAUCCGUCGCAGGCGUAGGAAAUUUGAGAAGACCUGUCCUUAGUACGAGAGGACCGGGAUGGACGUACC
rnacentral:rRNA from 1 species